CGUUUGUCUAUGAACUGAAAAUUGUAAAUAACUGCAGAACUGGUUUCCCCAUUGAAGUCUUUCGUGCGGCAUGAAAUUUAACUUUUUUAUAUUGUCAAUCGAAAAUUAUUGUGUGCAAUAUAUGGCUACACUGAUGUUGCUAAGAUAAGUGGAAACAAUAAAUCUGACUAUGGGGUCAUUUCAAUAUUCCAUGUUUCUUGAAAACAUUCAAACUGUCAUUUCAAACGAAACAUAAAAAAUGUAAGGAAAAGUUUUGUAAAAACAAA